rnacentral:lncRNA from 1 species
ACAUCCCACAGUUUUUUCACAAACAGUAAAAUGAGCAAGACCUGGAUCAGGAGGAUGGUAUUAAAACCCAGGAGUGAGACUGGGAGAAACAGGCUUCAUACCUGGCUCUACUGCAGGCUCUCUUUGGCAAGUCUCAACCUGAGAUGCCUGUGGCUCAGUGUGAUUGUCUUCUCAAUAUCAGGAGGCAGAAUGACAGUAAAAUAUGGAUCUAUGCCUACUUUCCAG